GUACUCGCAUCUACUGCACAUAUACUAAAAUUGGAAUGAUACGCGAAAGAUUAACAUGGACCCUGUGCAAGGAUGACAUGUAAAUUUCAUGAAGUGUUCCAUAUUUUU
ensembl:snRNA U6 U6 spliceosomal RNA